UACGGGGGGGGCAAGCGUUGUUCGGAAUUACUGGGCGUAAAGGGCGCGUAGGCGGUUCGCUAAGUUGGAUGUGAAAACUCUGGGCUUAACCCAGAGCCUGCAUCCAAAACUGGCGAACUGGAGUACUGGAGGGGAAAGCGGAACUCCUGGUGUAGCGGUGGAAUGCGCAGAUAUCAGGAAGAACACCGGUGGCGAAGGCGGCUCUCUGGGCCUUACCUGACGCUGAGGAGCGAAAGCGUGGGUAGCAAACGGG
rnacentral:rRNA from 1 species